rnacentral:rRNA from 1 species
CAGCCGCGGUAAUUCCAGCUCCAAUAGCGUAUAUUAAAGUUGUUGCAGUUAAAAAGCUCGUAGUUGAAUUUCGGGAUCGAAUUGUUGGUCGUGCUUCGGUACGCACUGGCAUUAUCGGUUCCUACCUUCUGAAGAACCGCGAUGUCAUUAAUUUGGUGUCGUGGGGAAUCAGGACUGUUACUUUGAAAAAAUUAGAGUGUUUAAAGCAGGCUUACGCUUGAAUACAUUAGCAUGGAAUAAUGAAAUAGGACGUUUGAUUCUAUUUUGUUGGUUUCUAGGAUCGACGUAAUGAUUAAUAGGGAUAGUUGGGGGCAUUAGUAUUCAAUUGUCAGAGGUGAAAUUCUUGGAUUUAUUGAAGACUAACUACUGCGAAAGCAUUUGCCAAGGAUGUUUUCAUUAAUCAAGAACGAAAGUUAGGGGAUCGAAGACGAUCAGAUACCGUCGUAGUCUUAACCAUAAACUAUGCCGACUAGGGAUCGGAUGAUGUA